rnacentral:misc_RNA from 1 species
GUAGGUGAACCUGCGGAGGGAUCAUUAAUAAGAGACCUUUGGGUCCUUCAUCCUCAAACCUGUGGAAGUGAGAUGUGCUUCGGCGUCUCUGGGCGCCGAAUCUAUGCUGAUUAGCCUGUGUCUGAAGAAAAACAAAAAUUAAAACUUUCAACAAAGGAUCUCUUGGCUCUC